rnacentral:lncRNA from 1 species
ACUGUAUGUCACAUGAAAGGGCAGGGGUCUUCAGAUUGCUGAUGUUCCCUCAGCCAUAGACCAUGCCCACUUUUGACGUGCUCUAGCCAAAGCUGCAUGAAAAUAUUUUUCAGUCCCUACUGGAUUUUUCUCUUAUGAAUGGUUAACAGUGCAGGUUCUGGAACCAAACUACCUGGAUUCAGAUUCUGGCUCUGCCGUUUAUUCGCUGUGUGUUGACCUUGAAUGAGUGAUUUAACUUUUCCGUGCCUCAGAUUCUUCAUCUAUAAAAUGGGCAUUAUGACAUAACACACCUUAGAGGAUUUUUUAAAAGAUUAAAUGGGUUUCCAGAUAUAAAACGUUUAGAAACUGUCUGCCACAUUAAGUAUUCAAUAAUUGUGAGCCCUUUUUAUAGUUUGUCAGUAUUGUUUACUCCUGUUCUGGUUUUGAGGAUCUUUAGCUUCCAUCCUCUACCUGCAUUCCUAGUGUUUUUUUUUUUCUCCCUACUUCUUAAAGUUGUGCUCAAGGUUUGGUACUUGGCCCCUUCCUCAUGCUUUUCACUUUUUCUGGUUGUGUCUGUUAGUUUGUCUUCUUAUUCUGCCUCCAUGAAUCACAGGUCAUUGUUUUCUAAUCAUACCCAUGUGAGUUCUAAACCAAUACAUAUUUGCAGUUGUCUUUUCAUCACAUAUACCUGGAUGUUUCGCAGACACUUUCGACUUGGCACAUCUGAAUUCAUCACUUUUUCCCAAAUCUGAUUGUCUCAUACUCCCUUGAUGAAAUGAUGUAAUAAUCCCAAAAUGAAUUAUUCUCAAUUCUACUUUUACCUCCCAUUGAUUACCAAGUGUCAGCAUGUCAGAUUUUUUAAUACUCCUUAGUACUAUGGCUGAUGAGGUCCGUCAUCUCUUAGUUUGACUGUUAGAUUUGUCCCUGAGUAGCACUGUCUUUGAUUUUGCCCCUGAAAUUCAUCUUCACACUGUUGACAGAAUAAUCUUUUAAAGUGGUUUGUUUUACAUGUCUGUCUUCCACUGCUGGACUGAGCUCUUAACAGGAGAUUGUAUCUCUUGUUUUUGUAAUCCUAGCACCUGUUAAAAUAACUAGCAACUUAGAGGUGCAGUCUUGCAGGUUUUCUGACCCUCCAGUCACCCUAGACCUGCACUGAUACAGUUUUCGUUAGCCAUUUAAAUUUAAAUAAAAUUGAACAUUCUGUUAAUUAGUAAUACUAGCUAUAUUUCAAAUGCUCAUAGCCACAUGUUACUGUUGACUACUAUAUUGGACAACAUUUUAGAACAUUUCGAUUAUCAUAGGAAGUUUCAUUGGACAGAGCUGCCCCAGCAGACCUUUGCUGAUGUGGAUGUCUUUCUGUAUUAACAUCCUUUUAACAUUCAGACACCUCCCAAAUGCUAACCUUAAUAGAUUGGCCUUCAGCAUUUAUGUCUCUCUAUCUUGAUCCUGCAAUUGAUGACUUUACUAUGUCUGCUCUGCAGAGAGCACCACUACCAGCAUGUGUCCAAUCAGGAAAGCCGACACUACAUAUUUCAACAGAGGAGAUGUGAGUACAGAGGCAUUAGAGAGUAACCCGGGGAUCACAACUGUAGGAUGCAGCUACUAGUCCUAAGGGUAAGAAAACAAAUGGGAAAAAAUUGGGGCUGCCAGAGCCUUAAAGCUCCAAAAAGGGUCAUCAUGGCAUUAGUGCUCAGACCCCUGAGGAGGCUUACCACCUACCUGCUCAUGGUAAUUCUGAGGGGUAAAGUAACGACAGUUCUAGAAGUUUCGAAGUAGUUGAAGGCUGGAAUUUGCUGCCGUUAUUACAAAGCUGAUAGGACUAGCCAUCAGAGAUGAACUAGAUCUUUUUUCAUCUUCCUGCCAACUUCCCUGUAGUACUUCCUACUGGCAGAACCUAAUAAGCAGCAGUCAGAGGGGUCAGAGAAGUGUAGUUUGCAGAGUCCCGGCCUCAGCACACAGAGCAGAGGACAGAAGGGUGGAAUUGGAGCUGAGAAACAAUAGAUGAAGAACCAGCACACUGGUUUCCUUCAAAGACUCAUUUUUAUCUAAAGGUAUUAGUCCCUAAAACGCCAGAUACUCAGGAAUUUGUAGAGAAAUUCUGGGCCCUCAAGAAUAAGUGUACUAGUUCGAAUUGAAAUCUUGUUACUCUUUUCUGUUAAACGAGACUGUAAUGCUGCUAUAUAGUGCUUAACUUUUAAAAUUGACAGUGGAUGAAUCUGCAUAUUAUAGUCAGGUGUUCAUGUCCAUCCAUUCAUUUAUUGAGUGCCUACCACAUGCCACACAAUCUAUCAGGUGGUAUGUAUAUAAAAUAAAACUUAGAUAAUAAGACAAAAGUAAUAAUUCACCCAAAUUCAUCUAUAAAUCCAGACUUAGGGACUGUUGACAUUUUUGUGUUCGUGCCUGUGGACAUCUUUCUGUGCAUAUGCAUGUACACACAUCACAAUAUCAUAAAAAGUUUAUAAAUGCAGAUGUUUCCAAGAAAGUGUGUAUUCAUCUACCUCUCUCCUGCUGUAUAGUAUUUGAUUAUAAGGAGAAUGCUCCAUUACUAUUUACCUGUGGACAUAGAGCAUAGGCUGCUACAUAUGUCUCUAUAUACUUUAUGCACUUUGUCUUUCCACUAAAAUUUCUCAAGGUAUAAUUUCUGUCUGGGUCACUGAAUAUGUAGAUUUAAAAUUUUGAGCUACAUUUUUCAAACUGCCCUUCACCAAAGAUGUUACAGUUUACACUGCCACCAAUAGUACAUGAGACUGUUCUUUCAUACAUUCAAUAACAGAAUAUUAUUGACCUUUAAUUUGUUUGAUAGCCAAAAGUGUGUUCUUCGCAUUUCAAAAUUUUUAGUGAGAGCAUAUUCCAAUAUGUUAAUUGACUAUUUGUAUUUCUUGUAUAGUUAACUACCUGUUUACAUCCUUUACACUUUUUCUUUUGGGUGUUUAUGUCUGUAACUUGGCAGUAGCUCAUAUUAGGAAUCAUUAUUAUACACGUUGCAAAUAUUUUUACAAUUAGUUUAUUUAUUAUUGCAUUAUAACCAUGCUUACGUAGUGGUGCUCUACUAUUUCUGCCUUAGGUAUAAUGUUUAGAAUUUUCUCUGGUCAGGGUUAUAAAAAUACUCAUGUUUCUCCUGAUAUUUUUAUGAUUUCAUUUUUAGAUCAGUCUUUAAUGCAGUUGACAGUUACAUUAAAGUAGUGAAAUAGUCAACAUUUUCUGUCAGUAUUAUCUGGUUGUCAUAAUACCAUUUAUAAAAUAAUUCCUGCUCUUCCUCAUUGAUCUAAAAUGUAACUUCCACUAGAUAAUCAUAUUUAUGUUUGAUAUUUACAAAUACUAUUCAGUUCUAUUUUGUCUGUUCAGCUACUUUCACUGAUUUAAUUAUUGUUGCUUCUUGUUUGACUAUAUAUUUAAAAUAUUUGUUUUAUAACUAAUACAAGGUUUCAUACCUAAUAGGUCAAGUAUUACUUCCCAACACAUACACCCUUAUCUCUUUCAUAAUUCCAUACUCUUUUACAGAUAAACUGUAGAAUUAUUUAAUCUUCCUUCAAAUACAGGUUCUAUUGGUAUUCUGAUUAUAAUACAGGAUACAUAGAUACAUACGACAUUGCAUGGGUCACAUAAAUUGUGGCACCUUUUCAAUAUUAAUAUUCUUAUUCAUAAAGAAUAUUGUUUGUCCUAUUAGGUUCAUAUGCCCCUCAGUAAAGUUUUUAGAUUAUUUUUCUUUAGUCAGGUAUCUUAAUGUGUUUUAAUGUUCUUGUAUUUAUGAAUGUGCUCCUUUUUUCUCCCCCUUUACAAAAAUGUUUUCUAAUUGAAUAUUUUCAUUUUUUAAAUCUCAGAACCUCUUCACACAAAUUAGUAAGGGCCUCAGAGAACUUUUAUGUUGGCAGAUGCUGAUUGAUCUAAUCUCGGCUUGUGGAGGACGAACCUCUUGCAUACACUUACCCAAAUAAUUUACUGUGAUUAGGUUUCUUAGGUAUACCGAUGCAAAAACAGAACGAAAUUCAUCUUGCAAGCAACUGUCUCUCAUUAUAGGUUAGUAAAUGAGUGUUUUGUUUAAUAAACAUAUCUAUUAAUUUUAUUAAUCCAAACUAGUUCACCUAAUAGUACUCAAAAUAGCAAAGAUAAAUGGUUAAGCUAGAGGCUUCCCUAACAUGAAAAUUGACUAAUAAUUUUGUUAAAUGUCUCUAUGCUGUCACCAGUGUGUAUAUAUUGGCCAUUCUUUUGAUCACUUUAUUGAUAUAUUUUGCUUGCAGUUGAAAAAAAGAUAGUUAUACUUAGAUAACUUGAUUGCUGUCUUCUAAAUUCCCAGUAGGUGGUGUCAUAAUACUGUAUUUAGGGAUUUUUUUUUAUUUAUUUAAUAAAGUGGAAAAAGAAAGUGCAAAUGUGUUUACUUAAGUAUAUGUACUUGCAUUUUAAAAGUGUUUUGGUUUUAUUAUGAGAUGACACUGUUAUAAACAACUUAAUUCCUUAUAUGUUUCUUCAAUUCACAUUUUUACUAGAAAAUAUGUACUGACAGUUUUAUUCUUUUAUUCUCUAGAAUGAUACAAAACUACCUAGUCAAAAGAACAA